rnacentral:tRNA from 1 species
GAACUAUUUUUUUGUGUUUUGAAAACAUAAUUAGGAGAGUCUCCGUAGUUUUU